AUGGCAGCGAGAGGGAGGAAGAAUGCGCCUGUGUAUCGCAGCGUUUCUUUCAAAAAGUUUGCGUCCUGGAGCGCCAGCGGGACUGAAGACCAGCAGCACAAUCCAGAGGACUCGGAGGCGGCUGGUGUCGCCCUUCCCCCGGAGCCCAGCAAAGCAGAACAGCCCCUGGCGACGCGUAAUGUCAGCGUGUCCAGAAAAGUUUCCAAAAUCUCUUCGACCGCAGCCGCCACCACCGCCGGCCUCCCGACCGCAGAUCCGAAGAGAAACUCCUCUGCUCCUUUCUCCUCUAUUUCCCCAUCCAUCCGACAGCUCACCGAGAGGUUCAGCAGCAGCAGCAGAUCCGCCGGGACGCGCGCAGCUUCCCCCGCAGACGGCGCAGCGGUGACGCCGGGGAGCGGCACUCUUCCCCGGGCAACGGGCUCCACGAGAGACCGGUCCCCGUGUCGUAAAUCUUCUCACCAGGACAGUGGUGGUGGAUAUAUCCUGCACAGUGAUAGUACUGCCACUACUACUACUACCACUACUACUGCUACUACUGCUGCAGCAGCAGAGUCACAGACGGACAACAAAGUGCAAAAGUUUUACUCCGAAACGGAGUCGGAGUCUGAGCAAAAGAGUGAGAGAAAGCCUGUGACCACCGAUGAGGAAGAGGAUGUUACUGUCAGAGGGGUUCCCGCAGCGUGUAAAUCUCACAGAAGUUACUGCUUUACACACCACGGUGACUUUAUUCCCCCGCACUCUGACAAGUGGCCCAGUGUCACCAAAAUCAGACAACUUUUCGAUGAGAGUCAAGACGCAAAGCAUAAGACCGACUCCUCUGAGAAUCUAAAAGCAGCCAGCAGAGGACAUUUACACGAGCUCAGCCCCAGUGAGAGUGCCUUUCUCUCGGAUAGAAGUGACAAACUCUCGCCUUGCAGCUCUGCUAAUGAGGGUAAUGUCCUUGCUUUGCAUGGCAAAUGCAUAGUUGGAGCUCAAAGCAGAGAAGGCAACACCGUUAAACAGACUUUUUAUGCAGGUAUGGACUUUUACUCCAAAACCGACCACCAGCUGCUUUCAAAUGAUGAGGAGGCAGCCGUGGAGAAACAAAGUUCCAAUAACACUAAAGUUUUUGGCGUAGAUACUUUUCAAAGCGGCAGCAGUAGCGGCCGUGGUUGCGCCGGAGGUGGACGCUUCCAGAGGAUUAACCCAUCUCCAGACAGAUCUCACAGUCCCCGCACUGAGUCAGAGGCUGCCCCCAAGUCCCUCAGGACGACGGGGCCGACAUCUGACCCCGGCCCUGACCUUCAACCCCUUGCUACUUCGUCUCGGAGUCAGACGGAGAGCUUCGACACCUCCUCCUGCUCUUCCUCUAUUCAGCGGCCAACAGUGAGGGAGAGAAGGGACAGACAGGGGGUCGGGCUGCCCAGGGAUAGUUUACAUUCCUCACAUAGCUCCUCUAGAGCUCCAGCCCCCACCCCCUCCUCUGCUCCAGGUCCAGAUAAAGCCAUUACCUCCUCCUGUACUGUACCUCCCUCCGCGGAGGUAAGAGCCCCGGCAAGAGUUGUCUCUCCUCUCCGGUCCCGCUGGAGGUUUAGCUCUGGAGACGAAGAGGAGGAGCACACUAGGAGAAGAAGAGGAGGAGGAGGAGGGGGUGGUGGAGGCGGUUGGAGUGUUCCUUCUGGCCCGGCUCCUUGCAUCUCCUACAGAGCAGGAGAACGGGGCACCACCGAGCGAGGAGGUGGCUAUUUUCCCCGCAGUAAAAAUGGCUGGUGGGGUGCUAAGGGCAUCGGUAGGUCCUCAGGCAGUGAGGAGGACAGCCCUGGUUCUAUAGGCCCCCACAGCCGAGAGGCCGUGCGCCGCCGCUCGCUGAGGAAGAAGAAGAAGGUCAGCGGAGCUGCUUUUGCAACGGGCCGCGAUGAUCACGAUGGUGAGUCAGAAGACAGCGACAGGGACACGACUGUGACAAUGGAGCAUCCAGAGAGGCAAAACCAGCAAAAGGCCGGGGGUGAAUUGGCAGGAACUGUAUGUCGGAGCCACUCUGUAAAAGAACCCAGCAGUAACAGAGCCAGGGUGCAGCAAUGGGAGCGCAUCUCCUCACCUGCGACAUCCACGACACUUCCCGGUGUAUCGCGAGUGUCAAAGGUCAAUAUCCCCCCUUUUUUGUCCAGUCCUGGUGGUUCACUUUGCAGCAGUCGAUACUCCAGCACUGAGACUCUGAAGGAGGAGGACCAGGCUGGCUGCGCCAACCGUGCAGCAAGUGUGUCUUUCAUCGCGGUUGGAAAAGGAGGUAAUACUGGCAAAACUGCAUCCUUGUCCAUGCUGAGUAAAACAUACCAUGGGAAUUUUACCAUGUACCGCUCCCCAAGCUUUGGCCACGGGGAUAACUUCUCCCGUACCCCUCUGCGCCCUAAGAUUGUGUCUACAGUCACCCCCCCCAUCUAG
ensembl:lncRNA